CCGAGGCGGUGGGAGGAGUCCCCAGAAGAAAAAUCGUCCUCCUUCUCCAAUUAAAACUCCAUCUCGGCAUCGCUGCGGACCGUGGGAAGGUCUGAAGGAAAACACGGUGGCCCCGAUAUUCUUCUAACUGAGAAGUGCUACACAGUCUCUUCUAGAUGAGAUGUCUGACUAGAAAGGACAGGUGCAAAACCAGAGCAGCAAGAUCAGAGUGUGAAACUCAGUGAUGCUACUGCCGUCUCCAGCUGUCCUCCUCUCAGGCUCCCCCACAGGCAGCUAGCUUGGAUAAUGGUCAAACCAAAGGAAUCUAGCUUUUAUUGUUAAAGGACUCGAGGGAACACAUGUAUUGCUGUCGGCUUCUCUCCACACCCACUCUGUGAGAUGACUACAGGAUCAUUUUAAUCAAGAAUGAAGACUACAUAAUUCAAGCAACAGGGUCAAAAGUCUGAUGUCUGCAGGGAAAGUGCAUUGGUUUAACUUCAGUCAGAUUUUAAAUCUUGGCUUUAAGGCUUGGCUAAAUAAUUAGGUCAAACCAGUGCAACGUUCCCGUGUAACUAAGGCCUUAAAAAAGGAUUUUAAAGAUAAAUAUCUCAGUUAAUUACUUAAGCUACAGUCUGAAACCUAUUGAAGUCAAUGAGACAGGAGAGCAAGCAGCCAACAAGAUACACUCUGAAGUGUCUUUCUGAAUCAGUAGCUUCAUUCUGCUCUAAGGAACAAACCUCCAUUUCAGCGAAAGUCAUCUUAGGAUCAUGGUGCUUUCUUAGAUCUCUGUCAGCCGCAAAGCCUACAAGAGAGAGGACAGUGCUAAGGCCUGGCUGCAGGAGAGUGUUGCAGGAAGCUGGAGAGAGCAGAUUCUCAGCUAUACAUUCCAUUACAAAGGGAGGUUCUUCAGAGCAAGAGGUUCCAUUACAUGUCUACAUGUUGAGGAGAAGACCCUGGCCAGUGGCCGGCCACCCAUUCAGCCACUCCCUCACUCCCCUUCCUCAUGGGGGCAUGCAGGGGCAGAAAAAUGAUGAAAAAGCUUGUGGACAGAGAUAAAGACAGGGAAAUUACUUACUAGUUACUGUCAAGCAAUUACUUACCAAUUUGUCACUUGGAGAAAAUUAAUUUUUUGCCAAUUGAAAGAGCUUUGGUUUUUUUGAGAAACAAAAUCAAAAACUGAAGGCACGUCUUACCCCCACAUCCUUUCCCACUUCAUUCCUGAUUCCUCUUUCAGUGAAUGGGAGGUGUGACGGGUCCACAACAGUUCCUCUCCACCUCUCCUUUCUCCUCACACUGUUCUCUUGCUCCACCAUGGGCCUCUUCAAUGGGCUGCAGAUUCAUGCUCUGUCUUGGAGGACCUCAUUACUCUCCUCUUUCUCUGAACUUGGCCUUCACCCCAUUACUUCAUCCUUUUUUUCCCCUUCCUCUGCCUGCCUAGUGCUUUUGCCCAUUCUUUAAUACAUCUUCCCUGAGACACCAGCAAAAAGCCACGUGGGCUCCUGGAGCUUGGCAGCGUCUGCUAGGAUGGCCACUGGUCCAUCACUGGUCAACAAUGAGUGUUGCGCCAUCACUUGUUGUAUGCUUCUGGUUCUAAUGCAAGGGAGCAGAUUGAUAUAUAACGUCACUAUUUCCAACCUCAGAUAUUCAGCAAAUGUAUUUUUUUCCCCAAAUACUUUUCAAUGGCAAAUAUAGAUAUCUUUUCGUUUGUAUUUUGACCUCCAAGUCUUGAAUCUUUCUCCAAACACAUAGUCAAGAAACUCAUUUUUCAAAAGUCCUAAGAGUUGAGUUUCUUAUGAGAGUCUGGUCCACUUCAAGGAGAGAAACCUCAGUUUAUGAAAAAUAAUAUUACAACUGUUGUGCUGGCUGAUGUCCUCUACUUUUACAAGAGAACAAUAGAAAAUCAAUUACACUGACAAACCCCCCUUGUGGGGUGAAACUGUGUAGGCUUUCCCAACAGACAUAACAGAUGUUUCUUGAAGAGUGAUUUCUGAAGGAGAGAAAACAAACACUGGAUACUUUCUGGGGAUACUGUAGAAGGAGGGGACUUCACUACUUUCAACAAGUCACAAGUACAGAUUCCCAACAGAGGCACAAAUCAACUUUUUCAUUCAAAUAACAGUUAUUUGAGACCGUGAUGAAACACGAGAGGACUGUGGACCGUGCCAGUGAGAAUAAAGAAAUAAAAAACAGUGCCAUCUUGUGGUUAACGUGAUUAAUCCCUGAUCCUAAGCCAAAGGCCUACAGUACUCUGAAUGCUCCCAAGAGGAAAGAGGAAAAUCUUUUGCACUAAGAAAAAAGUACCGGUAACUUCUGGCCAAACGAUAAGUAACCUUAUUUCAGUUCAGAAUCCUGUCUUGAAUAUGCAGACUUUGGUUUUAUCAUAUGACUGAAACAAAUACCUCUUCCUUUUAUAAUUGCACGUGUUAUAAAAGAGUGGCAUAUUGUUUUUAUUGGACUAAUUCUCGCUCCACUACUACUGAAGAGAUUUGAGAGCUCAUAUAUUCAUCAUCCGUCGAAGUAAUCUCCAUGGUAUCUUAGAUUCAGACAAA
ensembl:lncRNA